rnacentral:rRNA from 1 species
CGUACACUCCUACGGGAGGCAGCAGUGGGGAAUAUUAGACAAUGGGCGCAAGCCUGAUCCAGCCAUGCCGCGUGAGUGAUGAAGGCCCUAGGGUUGUAAAGCUCUUUCACCGGUGAAGAUAAUGACGGUAACCGGAGAAGAAGCCCCGGCUAACUUCGUGCCAGCAGCCGCGGUAAUACGAAGGGGGCUAGCGUUGUUCGGAUUUACUGGGCGUAAAGCGCACGUAGGCGGACUAUUAAGUCAGGGGUGAAAUCCCGGGGCUCAACCCCGGAACUGCCUUUGAUACUGGUAGUCUUGAGUUCGAGAGAGGUGAGUGGAAUUCCGAGUGUAGAGGUGAAAUUCGUAGAUAUUCGGAGGAACACCAGUGGCGAAGGCGGCUCACUGGCUCGAUACUGACGCUGAGGUGCGAAAGCGUGGGGAGCAAACAGGAUUAGAAACCCGGGUAGUCCCAUG